GACGAACGCUGGCGGCGUGCCUAAUACAUGCAAGUAGGACGCAGUUGCGAACGGGGGAGUAACGCGUAGGUAACUACCUAUUAGAGGGGGAUAACUAUUGGAAACGAUCGCUAAUACCGCAUACUAGUAGGUGGACCUGCGUUGUAUUAGCUAGUAGGUAGGGUAAUGGCCUACCUAGGCAAAGCUACAUAGCCGACCUUGGAGGGGGAUCGGACACAUCGGGACUGAGACACGGCCCAGAAGCCUACGGGAGGCAGGAGUAGGGAAUCUUCGGGAAUGGGGGGAACACUGACCGAGCAACGCCGCGGGAGUGAAGAAGGUUUUCGGAUCGUAAAGCUCGGUUGUUAAGGAAGCGGUACUUAACCAGAAAGGGACGGCUAACUACGUGCCAGCAGCCGCGGUAAUAC
rnacentral:rRNA from 1 species